ACAUUAUUGAAUUGAACAGAAACAUUUCUCCAUGGAAUGAUGAUAACUUUCAGAAGGAGAAAAGUUAUAUUUUCUUAUGAAGAAUUCUGAAUUCAAACUCUCUAGGGAUUCUUUUUAAGCAUUUGUAACCCUUUUGCAUUUGAGAUUUAUUUCUCCUUAAAAAUGUACUUG
rnacentral:lncRNA from 1 species